rnacentral:rRNA from 1 species
UGAACGCUGGCGGCGUGCUUAACACAUGCAAGUCGUACGAGAACACCCUAGCUUGCUAGGGUAAGUAAAGUGGCGCACGGGUGAGUAACGCGUGGGUAAUCUACCUUCGAAUUGGGGAUAACGUUGCGAAAGCGACGCUAAUACCGAAUAACAUCCAUUUGUCUUCGGGUUUUUGGAUCAAGGGUGGCCUCUACAUGUAAGCUACUGUUUGAAGAUGAGCCCGCGUACCAUUAGCUUGUUGGUGGGGUAAUGGCCUACCAAGGCAACGAUGGUUAGCUGGUCUGAGAGGAUGAUCAGCCACACUGGAACUGACACACGGUCCAGACUCCUACGGGAGGCAGCAGUGAGGAAUUUUGCGCAAUGGGCGAAAGCCUGACGCAGCAACGCCGCGUGAGUGAUGAAGGCUUUCGGGUCGUAAAGCUCUGUCAAGUGGGAAGAACCUGCAGUAUGUUAAUACCAUAUUGCACUGACGGUACCACUGAAGGAAGCACCGGCUAACUCC